rnacentral:rRNA from 1 species
GACAUAGGUGGCGAACGUUAUCCGGAAUUAUUGGGCGUAAAGGAUGCGUAGAUGGCAGAGUAAGUUACUGGUUGAUGUCAAACUCAAUUUGACGAAAGCUGGUAAUACUGUUUUGCUAGAGGACAGGAGAAGUUGAUGGAAUUCUGUGUGGAGCGGUGAAAUGCGUUGAUCUACAGAGGAACACCAAAAAAGGCGAAGGCAGUUAACUAUCCUGUUCCUGACAUUGAGGCAUGAAAGCGUGGGGAGCAAACCGG